UUCUUGCAUUGCUGUAAAGAAAUAUCUGAGACUGGGUAAUUUAUAAAGAAGAGAGGUUUAAUUGGCUCACAGUUCUGCAGGUUUUACAAGGAGCAUGGUGCCAACAUCUGCUUAGCUUCCUGGGGGGCGGUGGCGGGCCUCAGGAAGCUUACAAUCAUGGCAGAAGGCGAAGUGGGAGCAGGCACAUCACAUGGUGAAAACAAACAAGAAAGAGAAUGCAGGGAGUGGUGGUGGGGGGAGGUGCCACACACUUUUAAAUGAUCAGGUCUCACAAGAACUCACUCACUAUCAUGAAGACAACAAAAAGCCAUGAGGGAUCCACCCCCAUGACCAAAACAUCUCUCACUAGGCCCCACCUCCAGCAUUAGGGAUUAAAAUUCUACAUAAGAUUUGGGUAGGGACAAAUAUCCAAACUAUAUCCUUCUGCUUCUGGCUCCUGCCAAAUCUCAUGUCCCUCUCACAUUGAAAAAUACAAUUAUGCUUACCCAACAGUUCCCUAAAGUCUUAACUCAUUCCAGCAUUAACUCAAAAAGUUCCAAAUCCCAAGCCCAAAGUCUCCUCUACAGAUAAGUUCCUUCCAUCUGUGUACCUCUGGGGCCAGGUGAAAUAUAACUGGUUCCAAACUCUGGUGAUGACAAGGGAUUGAAAGCCCUCUUCACACAGGGAGAUGUACUUCUUGAAGACCCAAGGUCGUGAAAGUAGAGCAAACUCUUUCUGAUUAGGCUUGGCGUCCACUUCGUGUAUGGUCCAGGUCCACUGCUCUGUGCUCCUCUCUGCAAAUGCUGCGAUUCAGGUUCUGCCAUG
rnacentral:lncRNA from 10 species